AGGGGACCACCCGGAGUGGAGCCUGCGGCUUAUUUUGACUCACCACGGGAAAACUCACCCGGCCCGGACACCGUAGGGAUUGACAGAUUGAGAGCUCUUUCUUGAUUCGGUGGUUGGUGGUGCAUGGCCGUUCUUAGUUGGUGGAGCGAUUUGUCUGGUUUAUUCCGAUAACGAGCGAGACUCUAGCCUACUAAAUAGUGACCGGAUAGCUUGGUCCGGGUCACUUCUUAGAGGGACAAGCGGUGUUCAGCCGCAAUAAGUUGAGCAAUAACAGGUCUGUGAUGCCCUUAGAUGUCCGGGGCUGCACGCGCGCUACACUGGAGGAAUCAGCGUGCUUGACCCAUUGCCGAAAGGCAUUGGUAAACCCUUGAAAAUCCUCCGUGAUCGGGAUCGGGAAUUGCAAUUAUUUCGCUUGAACGAGGAAUUCCCACUACGUGUGAGUCAUCAGCUCACGUUGAUUACGUCCCUGCCCUAUGUACACACCGCCCGUCGCUGCCCGGGACUGAGCGGUUUCGAGAA
rnacentral:rRNA from 1 species